UACGUAGGUUGCGAGCGUUAAUCGGAAUUACUGGGCGUAAAGCGUGCGCAGGCGGUGAGCUGUGUCCGAUGUGAAAGCCCCGGGCUUAACCUGGGAGUGGCAUUGGAAACUGGCUCGCUGGAGUGUGGCAGAGGGGGGUGGAAUUCCGCGUGUAGCAGUGAAAUGCGUAGAGAUGCGGAGGAACACCGAUGGCGAAGGCAGCCCCCUGGGCUAACACUGACGCUCAGGCACGAAAGCGUGGGGAGCAAACAGG
rnacentral:rRNA from 1 species